rnacentral:rRNA from 1 species
UACGAAGGGUGCGAGCGUUAUUCGGAAUCACUGGGCGUAAAGGGUGCGUAGACGGUAUGUUAAGUUUGUUGUUAAAGACUCUAGCCUAACUGGAGGGUUGCAAUGAAAACUGGCGUGCUAGAGGGUGAGAGAGAGAAGUGGAAUUCCUGGAGUAGCGGUAAAAUGCGUGGAUCUCAGGAGGAACACCAAUGGCGAAGGCAGCUUCUUGGCUCAUUUCUGACGUUGAGGCACGAAAGCGUGGGGAGCAAACAGG